ACACAUUCCAGGCAAUCAGCAGCAGACCCUCCCUCCCAGACCCUCCCACCUCCUGGACAGCAUCCAUUUUACAUUCAUUGUGAAGCUGCAUUCUUAGUGAGCUGUCCAGGAGGUGGGAGGGUGUGGGAGGGAGGGUCUGCUGCUGAUUGGCUGGACUGU